rnacentral:lncRNA from 1 species
GUCAGGGUGGCCUGAGAGCUGACCGUGGGCCUGGUGGUGUGCAGGUUGGCAGUGACCUUGACCAGAGCCAUGCUGGGGAUGCAGUUUUGCUCCCCCAGAUUCAUAGGGUGGAGCCCCCGCCCCUGUGUGACUAUAUUUGGAGAUAGGCCCCUUAAGGAAGUAAUUCAGGUGAAGUGAGGUCAUCAGGAGGGGCCCUGGCCCAGUAGGAUUGGCGUCCUCACCAGAAGAAACUCUAAAGUGCAAGUGAGCUCACGCUCAGCCACGCCAGGACACACGGAGAAGGCGGCCACCCGCAAGCCAGGAGGGAGCCUCACAGGAACCCAGAUGGGCUGGAACCUUUGCUUUGUUCUUUGAACCUCCAGGACUGUGAGAAAUUAAGUUCAUUGUUGAAGCCACCUGUCUGUGGCGGUUUUCUUACGGCAGCCCAAGCUGACUAAGGUGGGGUCAAGCCAGGUUGGAGUGGGCUCAAGGGGGAGGAAAAGGUGAAGUCUCUUUCAAGAGCGUAGCUGCAGAGGGGAGCUGAGAACACAGGUUAGGAGUCCGGUGGGGAAGGGGCCGUGUUGAGUGUUGAAGGCGGCCUCGCUGAGCACCUUGUGUUUCCAGCAGGGCAGGCGUGAGGAAGGAGAGAGGGAAGCUGAGGGGGGCUGCCUUGGCUGGGGGCCUGGUGGUUCCCCAGAGCAGCAGCAGCAGGGAGGCAGAGGCCUGGGUACCCCCAAGCCAGGGAGCCCUGGGGACGGGGCACCCACUCCUCAGUGAGCAGGGAGCCAACUUCGGGCAGGGUGGGGUGGCGAAUGGACCAGGAAGGGAAGGAGGAGGCAGAGGAGGGAGGAGGCCCUUCUUUGAAGGAGCCGCCCCACUCAGCCAAGAGGAUCUCAGGACAGAGCCAGGCUGGGGGCCUGGGCAGGUGUGGCCGGGGCAGGCCACUUCCCAUCCCCAGCCCCAUUUGGGAUCCAUGGGCUCGUCUGUCUGUCUCUCUGCCUCCUUCCAGGUCCUGGGCCCUGGGCUGUGGCCAGGGCUCUGCUCACCCUCAGGGCUGCGUGGGGACCUCCCUCGGUGGGGAAAGGAGGGAACCAAGGCCUCCCGUUAUCCUCCAUGCCCCCUACCUGUGGUCAUGGCCUGGGGGAGGUGCAUGCUCGUGCACAGGUGGGCGUGUCUGUGAUCACAUGGAGCAACCCAGACUCCUCCAGAUGGCCCCACGCAUCUCCCCGGCGGCCACACAGUCAUCAUUGCGGGCCCAGACUCUCUGCCUGCAGGAAGUCCCCCCUUUGCAGGCACCCUCCCCAUCAUCCUUGGAGUUCUCCACGUCUGCCCUGUCCGUGCUGGGCCUGUCACCAGCCUGUCACCUGCUGCCCCAGCCCCAGCCCAGGUCCCUGCAGCACAGCCGGCUCCAGGCUGGAAUGGGUGACCCGGCCCUACUGAAGGAAUUUCAGGGCAGGGUCAGCCACUCUGGCCACUGUCUCCCUCCAAUGCCCCCAUACCCUCCCAGCGCUCGGCCCCUGCCACUCGGCCCCCUCUCUCCAUAUCGCCACCUUCUCAUUCCUGCUCCUCCCCCACCACCUCUCAAGGCCGACAGGGUGGGCAUUGCCCAGUGAGGGGACACCACUCAUAUUGAAGUUCUGUAAACUGUGUCUUGGGCACUGUACCAGGUGGCUGCUCCCAUCCCUCCCCUAGCGUCUGCUUGCCCUGUCCAUCCUGCCUACUCCAGAAGCAGCCACACACUUGACCAUAAGCCUUUGAGGCCUGGCCGGAGUCCUCCGGGGGAGGCGGGCAGUAGCAGCCGCACUGGGCCUGAGGACCCCACACAGGAAAAUGGGCCGAGCCCCAGGGCUGAGCCUUAGGGCUGCGGCCGUUCCCGCCACUAACAUUCCUCCCACACUUGUGGUCAUGCAUUUCCUGCUGCCCCUGCCCACGCUGCAGCCAGAUAGGAACAGAAAAAGGACAUCCUGCACCAUUUCAGACAGGAAUGUGCUCCUCCUGAAGGUCUUUUGGGGGCCAGGCUGAGGCCCCCCCUCAAGGUCACACCGUGGGGGACCCACUCCAGCUCUGCACCUGCUGGGGGUGAUCCUCACUGUGCCACUGUCCCUCCCUGGACUCAGAAUCAGAUGAGGACAGUCACCUCUGCCCAGCCUGCCUUCUGGGCUGAGAUGUGAGUCUGCAGGCAGCUGUCAGAGGUGGUGUGUGCCAGGUAGGGGACACGAGGGCUACCGCCCCUCAGGACCACCACACAGGGCCUCAGGGCCAGGCCAGCAGGCAGGACUCCUCCUGGACACUCAAGCCCUGAGUGGGGCUGACUAUGGAGAGGUGGCAGGAAGGUGGUGGGGGAUCUUCUGCAGGUCUGCCUGGAGCCAGCAGCUCCCGCUGACCAUCCGGGCCACCCACAGCCCCCACCACCCUCCUCGUCUCCCUCAUCUUCUGCUGUUUGGCCCUUGACCCCCUGAGGACAAUAGGGUUUCCUGGUGACCACUGGGCUGUGGGUCACACAGAUCUGGCUGGAAUCCCAGUUCUGCCUGGCCGUGUCACCUCUGAUGGGGAAGCACUCUGUCUCCUCAUCUCUAUGGUCGGGGAGUAACUUCCCUUACGGGCUUUUGGGGAUAUUAACAGAGGUCAACCUGGACAGGGCAUGGGGCCCCCGGGGUGCACCAUAAAGUCUUUCCUUCUUUCUUCUAUCCUCAGGCGAGGGGUGAGUGGCUGCUGGGACGUGCUGAGGGGUCCCUGAAGCAGGGCAGGAAGGGCAGAGCUAGCUGCAGCUGAGGCAGAGUCCGAGUCCCGCUCUGCAUGGAGGAGGAGAGCCUCCUGAUUACAUUGGUCUUACCUGGAUAAUCCAAGACACUCUCCCCAUCUGAAGAUCCCUCAUCAAAUGGCAUCUGCACAGCCCCUUUUGCCAGGAGCAGAUCCGCCGCUCGAAACAGCUGACCCAGCGACGACUGCGGAACCACUAGCAGCGUCUGCACAGAUCGACCCCGCCAUCCCGCCGUCCCGUUCGGUGACCGGAGACGCAGCCGGGAACGCGACUGAUCAGGCUACCGAGCCGGGCCGCAGGGCGAAAGCGGUGCGGUCCGAGGCCUCAGAAAGGGACACGCAGCAGCGGCAGUGGCGCUGACUCAGCCCGGCCUCCCUGCAGUCCCCUCAAAUACAAAGACUUCUCCGCAAAUGUUUAUAGCAGCUUUAUUUGUAAUAGCCAAAAACUGAUCACAAUCCAAAUGUCCACCAACAGAUCAAAGGAGAAGCGAAUUGUGAUCUGUCCAUAUGAGGGGCUUGGUGCCUGCAGCAACAUGGGUGAAUCUCCAGGUAGUGGUGACGAGUUGAAGGAGCCAGUCAAAAAAGAACGUGCUGUGUGAUUCCAUUUAUAGAAAACUCUAGAAAAUGUGGACUAAUCUAGAGUGAGGGAAAGCAGACCCGUGAUUGCGCCUGGGGCAAGGAGACUUGGGGGUGGAGGGGGGGCCAGAGGGAGGGGUUUCAAAGAUGAUAAAGACAUUUUGAGGGUGAUGGAUAUGAUCCCUCUCUUAAUAGUGGCGAUGGCUUCAUGGAUAGAUACAAAUGUCAAGACAUAUUGAACUGUAUACUUUAAAUGCUUGCGCUUUACUACGUGCCAAUCACAUCUUCAUAAGGCUGUUUUUUGUUUUUUUGUUUGUUUUUUUUUUUUAAAAAAAAAGGCCUCGUAAUGGAGAUGAGUACAGCCUGGCCUCAGUCUCCCCACCUGCAAUGUGGGGGAUCCCCGUGUGCCUUGCACCACCUGAGAGCUCCAGGCUUAGGAGGAGACCGAGGUGAGCCCUGUUUCUAGCCAGAAACCCCAAGGCCCUAACCCCCAGGGCUGGGCAGCUGCAGGGCCCAGGCUACUGCCCCUCCGGGGAUGGACGGUGCGAGGCCACUCCAGGGGCAUGACCUGUUUUGGGCAGGCGGUGGCUGUGGGGAGAAGAGUGGGGAGGUCCCUUUCUUUUUUCUUCCUGAAUAAAAAAAUGCAUGAUGCUACAUGUGCCUUGGGAUUUUUCAACACAAUUAUCUAAAAAUAGUGUGGGCCACCACAGCCUGAUUCCUUUUUAGGAAGGAUUUUGGGAGCCCAGCCUGUCCUGGCGGCCAGCUCAGGAAGUGGAGGCUUGUCUGGGUGGGGCCGGGGCUGCAGCGACCCUUCCCUAGCUCCGGCCAAGCCCACCCCAUCUCCCACUUCGCUGAGAGCCGGGCUGCCAGGAGUGCAUGGUGGGGCGGCCAGUGGCUUCCUGGCGGGGCCCACAGCCCCAGUGAAUUUCAGCCCUGCUGCUAGGGCACUGCAUGACUUCUCUGUGCCUCAGUUUCCCCAACGGGGAAGUGGAAGUCAUUGAUCACAGUCAACAAGGCCCAGCAGAGACAGGAAAGACACUACUGAGGGAGGGUUGAUGGGUGCCUGCUUCUCAGUUGAGCCUCUGUCCUUGCAAAAUCAGGCAAACCGUCCGGGUGUCCUGGACAACUCUGACACCUUCCUGCCCCACCUAGGCCUUGGGACCAGCAGGGUGAGACCCAAGGCCUGGACUCCCAAGGCCAACAGUGGCCAGCUCAGGUUGGUUCCACUGCUCACACUCUGCUGACACAUCCUUUCCCUAUGGGGAGCUAAAGGUCAGACCCUGCACGUGGCCUCCUUUGUUUCCAGGGAGCAUGGUGGGUUCUGGAGGCCCAGCACAGCCCCCUGUCCAUCCACAAGCAAAGGCCUCGGCCCACUGCUGCGGUGGCCCCAAAACACCGCGUGGCCUGUGGCUGAGGCCUGGACCACCAUGCCUGUGGGCAGGGGUCAGGACACAUGUUCUGAUCACCUGCCGUGCGGUUGGUGCUCUUCCAAACCUGAGGGCCCAGUUCUUAUGUCUGUGGCCCAAGAAAGAAAAAUCCAGCUACUCAAAUAAUUUUGAAAUGACUCAGAACCUUGCAUUUCUCUCUCUCUCUCUUUUUUUUUUUUUUUUGACACAGUGUCUCACUCUGUCGCCCAGGCUGGAGUGCAGUGGCACAAUCUUGGCUCACUGCAACCUCCACCUCCCGGGUUCAAAUGAUUCUCCUGCCUCAGCCUACUGGUAGCUGGGAUUACAGGUGUGCACCACCAUGCUUGGCUAAUUUCUGGGUUUUUUUUUAGUAGAGAUGGGCUUUCACCACGUUGGUCAGGCCGGUCUGGAACUCCUGACCUCGUGAUCCACCCGCCUCAGCCUCCCAAAGUGCUGGGAUUACAGGCGUGAGUCACCGCGCCCAAAAACUUUGAGGGAGCUUUAAGCCCCCAGCCCCGGGCAUCCCGCCCUUCUCUGAUCAGUGAGGCCAUUGGUGACCAGCUCUGCGGAACCCAGGGCCAGUGGCAUCCAGACUGCAGGUUCAUGUGUGUACACACAGACACGCACGGUGCACACACCCAGGUGCUACACCUCCCUGGGAGCAGGGAGGGAUGGAGGGGCUGGGCAGCCUCCUGCGAUGCUGUCAGGCCUGCCUCCCUUGGGCUGCUGUUGCCCUGGCAACCACCACAGGCUCAGGGCUGGAAGCCAAAGGACCAGCUCCCCCCUCCCACGCUGUGGUGCCCAUGCGGGGCGUGGUCUCUCUUUGAGUGCUCCGGCCAGAGCUGUUUUCACAGAAAGGUAGGGGGAGGGCAGAGGGUGGCGUGGAGCGCUGCUGUGACUGCAAAAAGGGACAGGAUUGGGUGGGGGCCAAAGAAGGCACUCCCCCCAGGCACAUCCAGCUCCCUAGAGAGAUCUCAGGGGACAGGUGAUGGGGUAGGCGCUCAGAGUACACACUCCAGAGGCCAGGGAAGGACUGCAGCCAGGAGAAAGGGGAGGCGCCCAGGCCGCGGCACGAGGAGGAGUCUCCCCUGUCGUCACCACCACGCCAGGCCAGGACCAGUGCCUGAAGGAAGCCACUCCUGACCGCAGCCCCCGCGGCUUCUCCUCCCACUACUCCUGGCUGGUUUUCCUGACCAGAGCCUCCCCUCGUGCUGUCCGCUCUUCUGCUCCUUUCAAAUCCUCACAGAUGCCCCUACAUGUCCUUCCACUCAGGCAGAGGGGCUUGAAACCCAGAGCUGGCGCUCUUCCUACAGCAAGAGCGGGGGUGAAGAGUUUGCCCUUGACUUGCGUGGCCCAUAGUGAUGCACUGUUGUGAGCGCCUGAGUGUGUCCGCCCAGCCGAAGGCCCCUCCCCGCCUCUGUUUCUCCCACAGGGGUCUCAGCCCGAGCGCCCUGUGCUAGCGCAAUUGCUGAGCCCACCUCACUCAGCACAGUGCCACGUUCAGCAGGCACCCACUGUGCACCAGGCACACCGCACAAGGAGCCCAGCAGGCGGUGUUCUGGACAUUCUUCCCCCUCCCGGCCCAGGCCUUCAGGGAGCGAGCAGAGAAUGGAGGACUAGGUCAGCUUCUCCUGGCCCCACUGGAGGCCACAGCCACGGGUGCUGGAGUCACGCACCCUGGGUUUCAAGUCCGGCUCCACUGUGUAUCUGCUGCGUGACUUUCAGUCUGUCACUUGCCCUCUCUGUGCCCCACCUUACUCAUCUGUAAAUGAGGGGUAAUAAAGGCACCUACCUCAUUGAUUAGUUUGUUGUAAAAAUCAAAUCUGAUCAUGUCUUGAAAGCCUCAAGUACAAGGUUCCUGGUGCAGUGAGCAUCGGCUAUUUGGUUUAGAGGGGCGCGAGGCAGGGAGAAGCAGGACCUGUGCCUUCUUGCCCGUGUUCGUCUUACACGGGUCACAUGCCCAUGGGAGUUCCCACUCUGGGCCUCAGUUUCCCCAGCUGGGGGCUGAGAAGGUGAGGCUCACCAAUGACGAUGUCUCUGGCUGUCCUGUCUCCUACAGGCCAGGACUGCAGGGGAUGCAGGCAGAGCCAAGGGCAUCCAGUUGUUGUGUGACGUUGGACAGGUCACCCUCCCGGGGCCUCUGCUCGGUCUCCUGUCCUGUAAGAGGCUCCAGCUGGUGCUGUUCCCUCCCAAACACCUUUGUGAGCUGUGGAAAACAUCAGAGACCUCAGGAGGUCCUUCUAGCUGGGGCCCGCUGCAUGCCAGGUCUCCAUGGCACCCAACCCUGCAAGGUCACGGCUCUCAAGAGGCUGGGCACUUGCUCCAGGUCUCAGCAAGAACAAAGCUGGUCGCUGCAUCUCGG